rnacentral:lncRNA from 1 species
UUCAGGAGGCGUGGCUAAAGAUCAUGACUGAAAUUGGAUAGUGGGUUUCUCUCGUUUUCUUGGAGAUUGCUCUCUAUUUGAAGCUAAAGUCUGGGGCAUCCUUGAUGGAAUUCUCAUUUUGAUUAAUAAGGGAUACAGAAAAAUCUCCCUCUUGACUGAUAAUCUCGAGAAAGCCCAAGUCUUGUUUGAUUUAGGCUUGAAGG